AGAGUUUGAUCAUGGCUCAGGACGAACGCUGGCGGCGUGCUUAACACAUGCAAGUCGAGCGGUAAGGCCCUUCGGGGUACACGAGCGGCGAACGGGUGAGUAACACGUGGGUAACCUGCCCUGUACUCUGGGAUAAGCCCGGGAAACUGGGUCUAAUACCGGAUAUGACACUUGAAGGCAUCUUCGGGUGUGGAAAGUUCCGGCGGUAUGGGAUGGACCCGCGGCCUAUCAGCUUGUUGGUGGGGUAAUGGCCUACCAAGGCGACGACGGGUAGCCGGCCUGAGAGGGUGAUCGGCCACACUGGGACUGAGACACGGCCCAGACUCCUACGGGUGGCUGCAGUCGAGAAUCUUCGGCAAUGAGCGCAAGCUUGACCGAGCGAUGCCGCGUGCGGGAUGAAGGCCUUCGGGUUGUAAACCGCUGUCGUAGGGGAAUAAAGGCCAGGGGGUUCUCCCCUUGGCUUGAAUGAUCCUAGGAGGAAGGACGGGCUAAGUUCGUGCCAGCAGCCGCGGUAAGACGAACCGUCCAAACGUUAUUCGGAAUCACUGGGCUUACAGAGUUCGUAGGCGGUCCAGAAAGUUGGGUGUGAAAUCCCUUGGCUCAACCAAGGAACUGCGCUUGAAACUACUGGACUCGAGGGAGAUAGAGGAAAGCGGAACUGAUGGUGGAGCGGUGAAAUGCGUUGAUAUCAUCAGGAACACCGGUGGCGAAGGCGGCUUUCUGGGUCUUACCUGACGCUGAGGAACGAAAGCCAGGGGAGCGAACGGGAUUAGAUACCCCAGUAGUCC
rnacentral:rRNA from 1 species